rnacentral:lncRNA from 1 species
GGGACGUGGUGCUCCGGUGCGGCGAAUCCUCCGGCUCAUAUUGUAGUUGGGUGUUUUGCUUUGGUUAACCUAUAGAGAAGGAAACAGUGAUCACAAUGGUGAAAAUAUUAGGUAAAACGGGAAUCGAGAAGGGCCUCAUUGGAGGCAUUUUGUGAAAUUCCCUGCGGCGGCAGCGCUGAGCUUUAUCCAUAUUUUUCGACCAAUCGGCUAGUCCUUUUGCUCCGAUUUGGCCAUGGAUGUGU